rnacentral:rRNA from 1 species
ACUUGUACCGACUGGAUGAGCAGCGAACGGGUGAGUAACGCGUGGGGAAUCUGCCUUUGAGCGGGGGACAACAUUUGGAAACGAAUGCUAAUACCGCAUAAAAACUUUAAACACAAGUUUUAAGUUUGAAAGAUGCAAUUGCAUCACUCAAAGAUGAUCCCGCGUUGUAUUAGCUAGUUGGUGAGGUAAAGGCUCACCAAGGCGAUGAUACAUAGCCGACCUGAGAGGGUGAUCGGCCACAUUGGGACUGAGACACGGCCCAAACUCCUACGGGAGGCAGCAGUAGGGAAUCUUCGGCAAUGGACGAAAGUCUGACCGAGCAACGCCGCGUGAGUGAAGAAGGUUUUCGGAUCGUAAAACUCUGUUGGUAGAGAAGAACGUUGGUGAGAGUGGAAAGCUCAUCAAGUGACGGUAACUACCCAGAAAGGGACGGCUAACUACGUGCCAGCAGCCGCGGUAAUACGUAGGUCCCGAGCGUUGUCCGGAUUUAUUGGGCGUAAAGCGAGCGCAGGUGGUUUAUUAAGUCUGGUGUAAAAGGCAGUGGCUCAACCAUUGUAUGCAUUGGAAACUGGUAGACUUGAGUGCAGGAGAGGAGAGUGGAAUUCCAUGGGUUAGCGG